UAAAUACUCCCUCCGUUCGGAAUUACUUGUCUCAGAAAUGGAUGUAUCUAGAACUAAAAUACAUCUAGAUACAUUCAUUUUCGCGACAAGUAAUUCCGGAUGGAGGGAGUACAUA
rnacentral:pre_miRNA from 1 species